GAUAUUCACGUGGCCAUGGAAGAAAAUGUCUUUUGGGAAUGUAAAGCAAAUGGAAGGCCUAAGCCUACAUACAGGUGGCUAAAAAAUGGCGAACCUCUGCUAACUCGGGAUAGAAUUCAAAUUGAGCAAGGAACACUCAACAUAACAAUAGUGAACCUCUCAGAUGCUGGCAUGUAUCAGUGUUUGGCAGAGAAUAAACACGGAGUUAUCUUUUCCAACGCAGAGCUUAGUGUUAUAGCUGUAGGUCCAGAUUUUUCAAGAACACUCUUGAAAAGAGUAACUCUUGUCAAAGUGGGAGGUGAAGUUGCCAUUGAGUGUAAGCCAAAAGCGUCUCCAAAACCUGUUUAUACCUGGAAGAAAGGAAGGGAUAUAGUAAAAGAAAAUGAAAGAAUUACCAUUUCUGAAGAUGGAAACCUCAGAAUCAUCAACGUUACUAAAUCAGACGCUGGGAGUUAUACCUGUAUAGCCACUAACCAUUUUGGAACUGCUAGCAGUACUGGAAACUUGGUAGUGAAAGAAUUACAUCCAGGCUGAAUUCAAUCCGUAUCUACAUCUGUAUCUUAACUGUGUAUGUAUCUGUUCUCAGAUCUGUAAAUAAAUAUCCUUAUCACAAA
rnacentral:sRNA from 1 species